CCCCGGGGCAGGCUGGGAGAUGUAGUUCCUGGCUCUCCCCGGAGCAGAAGUGACGUUGGGCACUGCGGAGGACGAGCCGAGUUGCGAACGCGCGUGGGGCGCUGCGCCUCUGCGUGGCUUGUGCGGGACCGUUGGAGCGUCUCCGGGAGCCGGAGAAGGGUUUUGUGCCGCUCGAGCUCUGGGCAUGCGCAGAUGGGGGGGGGGGGCGAGUUCCGCAUGCGCAGAGGCAGCGCUCACCCGCUGCUGCUCGCUGGCGCUGCGGGGCCGGGCGGAGCAGGAGGGUCUGUGCCGGGGAGACCUUCAUUAACCCCCCCGUGCCCGGCCCGGGCCCUGCUCCCGCUGGAGCCGCCCUGGGGCCGCCCCGGGCUCUGCCCGCCCCGCUGCGGAGCUGCAGCCUCCAGGUGUCUGACUGAGAUCAGGGUUCUUAUUGUACUGAGCGUGGCACAGGCCCUGCCUGAGAUCCGGUUCCCCAGUGUGCCGGACACUGCACAAACCCUGACCGAGUUUGGGGAACUCGUUGUGCCAGGAACUGCAGAGACCCCAACAGAGAUCUGCGCCCCUGUUGUGCUGGGCACUGUAGAGACCGCACCUGACAUCAGGCCCCACAUUGUGCCAGAUCGCAGUUUCUACAGCGGACAGCUCACUUAUUCACCAGAUCAGCGGUCGGAGUCACCAGUGUCGUCAGAUGCUACCAGUGUGGUGGUGCUCUGCUCUGUUCAAUGUUGAUAUCAGUCGGCUGCGUGCGUGUGUUCCCUCUGUGUGCUGCCCCGGCUCUGCAGAUCGCUGACACAGCAGACCCCGGAGAACCCCCAGUGACCACAGACUCCAAUAAGGCUACAGAAUAACAUCCAGGUUUCACUCCAGACCCACCCAGGGGGAAGGAAAUGGCUGCAAUGGAGCUGGCUCAGGGGCCGGUGACUUUCGAGGAAGUGGCUGUGUAUAUCACCAGGGAAGAGCGGGCUCUGCUGGACCUCACUCAGAGAGACCUCUACAGGGAUGUCAUGCAGGAGAACUAUGAGACGGUGGUCUUGCUGGUUUGUAAAUUCUUCAGGGGAUGGGCCAUCUACUCUUCUGUGUUUGGACUUUGCCUAGCACAAUCGGGACCCACUGUUAGUUGGUCCUUAGGCACUAAGGUAAUGAAUAUGAUUUAUAAUAACAACUCUCCUGCCACUUUGAGCCAAGGAAGCUGGUCUUCGGAUGUUACUGACUAAAAAUGAGCUGGGGGUAAAACCAUGCAAUAUUCUUUGUGACAAGUAUCCCACAAAUUCCACUGUUCUCCCUUGUUUUCUU